UUUUUUUUUUGGCUAAAUUAUAAAAAAAAUUUGUGUUAAAAUCUAAUUUUUUACUUUUCUGUUAUUUAAAAAUCUAUACUUUAUUCCUUUAUAAAAUAAAAAGUAUUCACAGAAAAUACGAUAUGAAUUGUAAUGAUAAAAUAACUAUUUUGCCCCUCAUCAUAAAAUGAACAUUUUUUAUUUUACAAUAGGGCAAAAUAUAGGUUUUUAAAUGAUAUGAAAAAAAGAAAAAAAUCGGAUUUUAACCGGAUGUUUUUAUAUAAUUUAGCCUUUUUUUCCAUUAAUAAUAGGGAAAAUGUG
rnacentral:lncRNA from 1 species